CAUCCGGGCCUCACUUUACGUAGGACGCCAUCGAUCCCUACAUUCAACCACCCAAUAGCGGUGCUCCUUGCAUCCAGAUGUGUGAAACGGACGACCUAACAUGGAAGUAAGUCGCUAUCACUGAUAGGCUGCCCGAUCGAUGGCACCGGCCCCUGGGCUUGCUGUCUAACCAUGCCCCAUGGUUGCAUGAUGACUUAUCCAAGUUGGCCACAUCCCGCAUCCGACAUGUCGCCACUGUCUCUCCUUCGUUUUUUCUUUAUAAUAUGUAGAUGGUGAAUCAUCAUUUGUGCCGCCAUUAUUUUUUUACAGUUGUUUUGUUCGUACCUUUGAAACCGACGAAGUCCAGAAUGGAACAAAUACAACAAGGAAGAUAUUUUGCUAGAGACGAAACAUGUGCACUUCAGUUCUGUUGAGAGAGAUGUAAGACGGCUACACAUUUGUUUGGGGUAACUUUCUUUUGUUAACAUGAAUUUAGUUAAUUGUUAGUAGAUAUGUUCAUAGGCUUUGAGGCCACAACUAACAGACUGAAGUCCUUGCUGAAUUAUGGAUCUUAUGGGAAGUAGCGAGAGUGUGAGACUAUGAUUUCGCCGUGGAGGCGUCACCUAACAAAUCUGCAUCCCAGGUAUAGUUUCUGAUCCUGAUGUCUUAAAAUACAUUUCUAUAGUUCUUAAUACAGUAAUACUUAACGACAUUUGUAUGGAAUGAAUGUUGUUGUGACUAAAUUCCGUGUGCAAGACCUAUCAGUUAGCAUGCUAGAAUAAAAGCUCUGAAUGAUCUAACUUCUGCAACUACCAAAUGUUGUUUCUGCACAUAGGUCAUGGAUUUCCCCUAUUGAUAUUGUACAUGCAAUUGGCUUCAAAUAUUUCAGUAAAAUCUCAUGAUGACAUCAAUAUAUAGACUUGUGCGAUAUGUGUGCAUCAAUUAUUUUGACCCAAGACAUUAUUCCAGAAAGCACAAGAUAUUACUUUAUCCAGUCUAUCCAGUCUAUUCCAGAAAGCACAAGGGCUUGUUGAUCUUUCUUUUCUAGAGUGUUUUUGUUAUGAACUCUUUCGUGAAUUUGGAGUAUCUUUUUUAUUUCUAGAACUUCUUACUGACUCUUUUCCAUUGUAUAGUAGGUUGUGAAGAAUGGGAGAUGCUGAUUUGGAAGAAGAAACAAUCAUCAAACAUGUAUAUAUAUACUGCUACUAUAGUAUUUAUACCUUGCAAGAAAAGAAAGCUGAUAAUUUCGAUGUAAACUAUGACAUUGUGGUUUACAAAUAAAUAAAAUGUUUCAUGUGUAUAUUUUCUGCACUAUGCUAAAUUCAUAUCAGAGACUUUCUA
rnacentral:lncRNA from 1 species